rnacentral:rRNA from 1 species
AUUGAACGCUGGCGGCGUGCUUAACACAUGUAAGUCGAGCGGUAACAGGUGUAGCAAUACAUGCUGACGAGCGGCGAACGGGUGAGUAAUGCUUCGGAAUCUUCCUAGUAGUGGGGAAUAACCUGGGGAAACUCAGGCUAAUACCGCAUACGAACUACGGUUGAAAGCAGGGGAUCGCAAGACUUUGCGCUAUUAGAUGAGCCGAAGUCGGAUUAGCUAGUUGGUGAGGCAACGGCUCACCAAGGCGACGAUCCGUAGCUGGUCUGAGAGGACGACCAGCCACACUGGGACUGAGAAACGGCCCAGACUCCUACGGGAGGCAGCAGUGGGGAAUAUUGGACAAUGGGGGCAACCCUGAUCCAGCGACGCCGCGUGUGUGAAGAAGGCCUGCGGGUUGUAAAGCACUUUUAGUGGGGACAAAAAGCCGAGGGCUAAUACUCUUCGGUCUUGAUUUAACCCAAAGAAAAAGCACCGGCUAACUCUGUGCCAGCAGCCGCGGUAACAC